rnacentral:rRNA from 1 species
UGGGGAAUAUUGCACAAUGGGCGCAAGCCUGAUGCAGCAACGCCGCGUGAGGGAUGACGGCCUUCGGGUUGUAAAACCUCUUUUAGUAGGGAAGAAGCGAAAGUGACGGUACCUGCAGAAAAAGCACCGGCUAACUACGUGCCAGCAGCCGCGGUAAUACGUAGGGUGCGAGCGUUGUCCGGAAUUAUUGGGCGUAAAGAGCUCGUAGGCGGUCUGUCGCGUCUGCUGUGAAAACCCGAGGCUCAACCUCGGGCCUGCAGUGGGUACGGGCAGACUAGAGUGCGGUAGGGGAGAAUGGAAUUCCUGGUGUAGCGGUGGAAUGCGCAGAUAUCAGGAGGAACACCGAUGGCGAAGGCAGUUCUCUGGGCCGUAACUGACGCUGAGGAGCGAAAGCGUGGGGAGCGAACAGGAUUAGAUACCCUGGUAGUCCACGCCGUAAACGUUGGGCGCUAGAUGUGGGGACCAUUCCACGGUUUCCGUGUCGCAGCUAACGCAUUAAGCGCCCGCCUGGGGAGUACGGCCGCAAGGCUAAAAC